rnacentral:rRNA from 1 species
UGCUCUUAUGAAGUUAGCGGCGGACGGGUGAGUAACACGUGGGUAACCUACCCAUAAGACUGGGAUAACUCCGGGAAACCGGGGCUAAUACCGGAUAAUAUUUUGAACUGCAUAGUUCGAAAUUGAAAGGCGGCUUCGGCUGUCACUUAUGGAUGGACCCGCGUCGCAUUAGCUAGUUGGUGAGGUAACGGCUCACCAAGGCAACGAUGCGUAGCCGACCUGAGAGGGUGAUCGGCCACACUGGGACUGAGACACGGCCCAGACUCCUACGGGAGGCAGCAGUAGGGAAUCUUCCGCAAUGGACGAAAGUCUGACGGAGCAACGCCGCGUGAGUGAUGAAGGCUUUCGGGUCGUAAAACUCUGUUGUUAGGGAAGAACAAGUGCUAGUUGAAUAAGCUGGCACCUUGACGGUACCUAACCAGAAAGCCACGGCUAACUACGUGCCAGCAGCCGCGGUAAUACGUAGGUGGCAAGCGUUAUCCGGAAUUAUUGGGCGUAAAGCGCGCGCAGGUGGUUUCUUAAGUCUGAUGUGAAAGCCCACGGCUCAACCGUGGAGGGUCAUUGGAAACUGGGAGACUUGAGUGCAGAAGAGGAAAGUGGAAUUCCAUGUGUAGCGGUGAAAUGCGUAGAGAUAUGGAGGAACACCAGUGGCGAAGGCGA